rnacentral:rRNA from 1 species
AGUCGACGAUGACGGAGGAGCUUGCUCCUCCUGAUUAGUGGCGAACGGGUGAGUAAUACGUGAGCAAUGUGCCCUUGACUCUGGGAUAAGCGCUGGAAACGGCGUCUAAUACCGGAUACGACGAUCGGAGGCAUCUCCUGGUCGUGGAAAGAACUUCGGUCAAGGAUCAGCUCACGGCCUAUCAGUUAGUUGGUGAGGUAAUGGCUCACCAAGACGACGACGGGUAGCCGGCCUGAGAGGGUGACCGGCCACACUGGGACUGAGACACGGCCCAGACUCCUACGGGAGGCAGCAGUGGGGAAUAUUGCACAAUGGGCGCAAGCCUGAUGCAGCAACGCCGCGUGAGGGACGAAGGCCUUCGGGUUGUAAACCUCUUUUAGCAGGGAAGAAGCGAAAGUGACGGUACCUGCAGAAAAAGCACCGGCUAACUACGUGCCAGCAGCCGCGGUAAUACGUAGGGUGCAAGCGUUGUCCGGAAUUAUUGGGCGUAAAGAGCUCGUAGGCGGUUUGUCACGUCUGCUGUGAAAACCCGAGGCUCAACCUCGGGCUUGCAGUGGGUACGGGCAGACUAGAGUGCGGUAGGGGAGAUUGGAAUUCCUGGUGUA